GAUGAACGCUGGCGGCAUGCCUAACACAUGCAAGUCGAUCGGUAAGGCUCUUCGGAGUACACGAGAGGCGGACGGCUGGGUAACGCGUAGGAACACACCCUGCAGUGAGGGAUAAGACACCGAAAGGUGUUCUAAUACCGCAUACGGUCUUCGGAUUAAAGCAUUUAUGCGCUGAAGGAGUGGCCUGCGUCAUAUUAGAUAGUUGGUGAGGUAAUGGCUCACCAAGUCGAUGAUGUGUAGCUGGUCUGAGAGGAUGAUCAGCCAGACUGGAACUGAGACACGGUCCAGACUCCUACGGGAGGCAGCAGUGAGGAAUAUUUCACAAUGAGCGAAAGCUUGAUGGAGCAAUGACGCGUGCAGGAUGAAGGCCCUCGGGUUGUAAACUGCUUUUAUAAGAGAAGAUUAUGACGGUAACUUAUGAAUAAGGGACGGCUAACUACGUG
rnacentral:rRNA from 1 species